GGUUUGAUCGUAUAAAGGUUAGUACAUAAGAUUCUGAAGCAGCCUCACCGCUCUGUGAAGCCUCUUCGUUCUUGUAAUCUGGGUUCGAUUCCCAGUCAGACCU